CCUACGGGCGGCUGCAGUGAGGAAUAUUGGUCAAUGGGCGCGAGCCUGAACCAGCCAAGUAGCGUGAAGGAUGACUGCCCUACGUGUUGUAAACUUCUUUUAUAAAGGAAUAAAGUCAGGCACGUGUGCCUUUUUGUAUGUACUUUAUGAAUAAGCAUCGGCUAACUCCGUGCCAGCAGCCGCGGUAAUACGGAGGAUACGAGCGUUAUCCGGAUUUAUUGGGUUUAAAGGGAGCGUAAAUGGGUUGUUAAGUCAGUCGUGAAAGUUUGGGGCUCAACCGUAAGAUUGCAAUUGAUACUGGCAGGCUUGAGUACAGGUGAGGUAUGCGGAAUUCGUGGUGUAGCGGUGAAAUGCUUAGAUAUCACGAAGAACUCCGAUUGCGAAGGCAGCUUACUAAACUGCCACUGACAUUGAUGCUCGAAAGUGUGGGUAUCGAACAGGAUUAGAUACCCUAGUAGUC
rnacentral:rRNA from 1 species